GAUGAACGCUGGCGGCGUGCUUAACACAUGCAAGUCGAACGGUGACGCCCUGCUUGUUGGGUGGGUUAGUGGCGAACGGGUGUGUAACACGUGAGUAAACUGCCCCUAAAUCUGUGAGAAGCCUGGGGGACUGGGUCUAAUACCGGCGAGGAGUGUUCACGCCUUGGGGGGUGUUUGCGAGAUUUAUCGGUGUUGGAUGGACUCGCGGCCUUUCAGUUUGUUGGUGAGGUAUUGGCUCACCAAGGGGAUGACGGGUCGCCGGCCUGAGAGGGUGACCGGCCACACUGGGACUGAGAGACGGCCCAGACUCCUACGGGAGGCAGCAGUGGGGAAUAUUGCACAAUGGGCGCAAGCCUGAUGCAGCGACGCCGCGUGAGGGAUGACGGCCUUCGGGUUGUAAACCGCUUUCAGUUGAGAAGAAGCGAAAGUGACGGUACCUGCAGAAGAAGCACCGGCUAACUACGUG
rnacentral:rRNA from 1 species